AGUAUUCUCUUCUCUCCAUCCCAAGCCGUAUCGUUUUAUCGAGUGAAGCGAGAAACUAUUCGCAAAUGGUUACGCCAAAAGAAGUAGAACAGAAGAAUCGAGAGGGGCUCCUUCUCUUCUCGAGGAAACCGUCCAGUACCGUUUAUCGCUUCGUGGUAUCGGGUACAAACCGUCGGAGAGCUGAAAAACCCUGGAGGUUGAGUUCAAAGUGCACCAAUUUGGAUAAACUCUCGUACGACCCUUUUUCCCCCGUGUAAAACUCAACCCUCAAGAUCGUACCUUACGAUAACAAUUUUCCACCUCCGUUUCUCUUCGGGCUUUAUUUGUCUCGAACAAACUUUGAAAUUUCACUGGAGAGAAUUUUUCUUCUCCAAUUGAAUUCCGUUUAAUUCACGACAUGUGUUACGUACAUGUCGGCCAUUUUUCAAAUUGCAUAGUGAAUUUUUCUCACCUGAGUGGAAAGGAAAAUUAAGAUAUUUUAGUGAAACAGUUAAUCGUUAUUUUAUUUAACUCUUGAUUAAUCAUUUUCGGAUUAUUUCGGACGUGAUUACGUGGACUAAUUGAAAUACUGGUGUAUAAGUCGACUGAGCCUAUUGCUUAUCAUAUUCUACCAGCAUAAACCCAUAAAUCCAAUGGGCUAUCGAUUUCACGUGAAAUUGCCAACUAGAAUUUACAACUACCAAGUUGUUGGAAGUCGACGACUCUUGGACGACACUGUACAACUUCGGGUAUUUACCCUCAUACAUACAUGUUAUUCACCCACUGGUACGAGAGUAAUGCACCAACACAGGAUGGCGCACGUGCGACGAGUUUACAGCCACCUCCUCCCCUUGGCACCCCUCUGGAGCGACUGUGUACUAACACCAUCUCCGGACGCGAUAAUAAUUUCUAGGCCUGUGCCUCCUCCAACAAACCAGACUAUACCUUUCCACGAACAAAGGGCACGUAGUCAAGCGGUAUAACGCAUUACGCCAUUUUGCACGGUGAAAACCUGGCAGCUACCUUAGUGUAGUGGUGAAGAAAAAAUAGGGAGGAGGGAGAGUCAAACAAGGCGAGUUGUUAAGGGAUAAAUUUCGAGAAUGAAUUCUUGAUUGAAAUAAAUUUUUUUUUCGCGGUGGAAAAAUGUAUUUCGACUCAUCAUUGUCGCGUUCCUAUCUCCAAAUUUAGUAGAAAUUAGUAUGUGGUGAUUAAAUUUAUUUGAGGGCAGAGAAAAUUUAUUCUGACGUGUAAUAAAAUUUACGUCACUCGACUGAUAAGAUUUUAUUUAAUACGGUUUCAUUUGAAGAUGUUUUAGGAAAAAUUCUGACAGUAUUUGGCCAGAAGUGAAGGUAUGAUGAUAUUCAUAAUCGAUCUUCUGAAAUAACUGAACAUGAGUAUUAUUUUUUCAUAUGGUAAUAGCAAUUCGUUGAUGACAAAUUCCAUAUACUGAUUGACGUCAGUGAAAUCCACUUCUCUUGAAAUGAUAUUUCUUGCAUCCGUUAUGAAAAAAUAUUGUCUUAAAGAAAAAUUAAUGUUGAUGAAAUAAACAGUGCAGCGACUCGGGGGUCUGAUACAAAAUAUAAAGGCGAUCACUCUCACUGCUUACCAUUCACACGUUCGGCUAAUCAAUCUCAUUUGGCGAGAAAAAUUCUGAGAAUUUAGCAUUUCUAUCAUGAAGUACCUCUCAAUUUUCAUGUUCAUUGCGAUGCUGUUCGCGGCUGUUACUGGACAACCUGGCUGCAGAGGGCGCAAUGCCAGGUGUCGAUACCAUCAUGAGUGUUGUGGAAGCCUACUUUGUCGUAGAGGCCGUUGUGUCUAAAUUGCGACAUAUUCGAAGGAGAACUACGCGAUUUCCCGGCCCAGAAUAGGAUCCUGAUCGGAGAUUGUUUCAGACAGAAAAUCCACACCACAUCAUCAUCAUUCUUCUACAAAAUUUCCCAUAGAUUUUCUUGGCAAAAUUUACUCUUCUAUUUGGUAAACGUGUAUUUCCAGAACAAAUAAAUAAUUUUCCCAAGAACCCUAUCGUCUUUCUUACCACCUUCCUCCGAAUCCCCCCUAAUUAUUAAUUCAUAUUUAUGCAUUAAUUGAUACCAAUUAAUUAUUCCAAGCCAAGAGCGACGUCAUAUGAGAAGUGCAUAAAUUACCUUCCAUAAAAUAUAUUAAAAAUACAACACAAACUUUGAUAAGACGUUAAUCAUCUGUUAACCAACCGCGAUAAGAUCAAUGAAGAAUACUUUUAUCAGUAAAUUCAUUACCAGCAAAUAUUUAUGUAGAGGAGAAUAAAUUUUAAUAUAAAACUCGAGAGAACUGUUCUUAUAUAAAAGCACCCAUCGCUCUCACCGUCCAUAUUAAUGAUUUGUUUCUGCCCAUUGACAAGAAAAUCAGAAAAAGUUACCUGUGCGUCAUGAAGCUUUUCGCUGUUUCGAUUCUUCUCGCGAUGUUAAUCGCUGUUGUCGCUGGACAAGGCUGUGCAGCAACUGGACGCCCGUGCAUUCGUCAUGAAACUUGUUGCGGAGUCUUGUGGUGCCGAAACGGAAGAUGUGCGCGGUAAAGACCCAUCCAACCGGAAGAGACAGCACCCAGAAUGAGGCGACGAACAGGCAUUAUCAUGGCGAGUCAUUAUCUUUGAACGAUCAUAUUCGGAGAGACUUUGGAUUUGUUAAACUCAUACGUAUCAUUCCUUGAGAAUUUUUGAUGGGAAAACUUUGUUCCUAUAAUCCACAAUUGUUAUGUGAUUAUCCUUCAUGAAUGCUAAUUAUAAAAUACAUAUAUUCAAGCUCAUUCCCGCUUUCUUCUUCAGUACCUUAAUCUACGAAUUAAAUUUGAUUUAGGGGAGUAACUCAUCUGGAUUUGAUUUUAAAAGCUGCAAAAUUUGUUCCUUGAUCUUUAAAAAUAUUUUUUCAAAGGGGAAUUAAAUCGCAGUAAAUAUCUCUGCUGAGAUAAAAAUUUUACGAUAUCUAGAAAUAACCUCUGAAAUAACUGUACCCGACAAUCAUUUUUAAACAUUAUGAUGAGAUAAUACUUACAUUCAUACGUAUUUUGACGUCAAUGGAGACCACUUGUCUCAUUGUAGUUCAAUUUUCCUGCAUUAAAAAAGCAAAUGGACGAUUCUCUUAUCACUUUAAUUCAAUAUGUGUAAAUAUUUUUCAGAAAAAUAUAAAUAUCAAUAAAAUAAGCUUUACGGAGAAUCCGGGGGACUCUCAUCUCUGUUAUAAAGGCGAUCGCCUUCGCCACUCGCGAUCAAAUCCAUCAAUUGAGUUUGUGAGGAGGGAAAUCGGGAAAAGGAACUUCUGCGGCAUGAAAUACCUUUCAAUAUUAAUGUUUAUUGCAACGCUGCUUGCAGCUGCCUCUGGACAACAUCGUUGCAGAGUACGCGGUAGCCCGUGCCGAUUCCAUUAUGAUUGUUGUGGAGGACUAAUUUGCCAGAGAGGGCGUUGUUUCUGAAUAAAACUGAGAAGAAGGAGAUAAGAAAUAAAAUCCUGAACGAGGAUUGCGGUGAACAAUAUAUCAUCCAAUAUAUCAGAAAUACAUAACCAAAUACAUAAUAAAACUAUCACUGAAGUCGACUCUUAGUAGAAGUUCAUCGCAACCUCAACUCAGCAAGGUGACUGAGGAAUACUCUUAUCUGCUCAAUGCAUUAUACCCAAACAUUUGCAUAAGAAGAAUAAAUUUUGACAAAGUAAACUUUCCGCGAACGGGGAAGACUCUGUUCUCAUAUAAAGACGA